rnacentral:rRNA from 1 species
ACACAUGCAAGUCGAACGAAGCACUUAUCUUUGAUUCUUCGGAUGAAGAGGUUUGUGACUGAGUGGCGGACGGGUGAGUAACGCGUGGGUAACCUGCCUCAUACAGGGGGAUAACAGUUAGAAAUGACUGCUAAUACCGCAUAAGACCACAGAGCCGCAUGGCUCAGUGGGAAAAACUCCGGUGGUAUGAGAUGGACCCGCGUCUGAUUAGGUAGUUGGUGGGGUAACGGCCUACCAAGCCAACGAUCAGUAGCCGACCUGAGAGGGUGACCGGCCACAUUGGGACUGAGACACGGCCCAAACUCCUACGGGAGGCAGCAGUGGGGAAUAUUGCACAAUGGGGGAAACCCUGAUGCAGCGACGCCGCGUGAGCGAAGAAGUAUUUCGGUAUGUAAAGCUCUAUCAGCAGGGAAGAAAAUGACGGUACCUGACUAAGAAGCACCGGCUAAAUACGUGCCAGCAGCCGCGGUAAUACGUAUGGUGCAAGCGUUAUCCGGAUUUACUGGGUGUAAAGGGAGCGUAGACGGCUGUGUAAGUCUGAAGUGAAAGCCCGGGGCUCAACUCCGGGACUGCUUUGGAAACUAUGCAGCUAGAGUGUCGGAGAGGUAAGUGGAAUUCCCAGUGUAGCGGUGAAAUGCGUAGAUAUUGGGAGGAACACCAGUGGCGAAGGCGGCUUACUGGACGAUGACUGACGUUGAGGCUCGAAAGCGUGGGGAGCAAACAGGAUUAGAUACCCUGGUAGUCCACGCCGUAAACGAUGACUACUAGGUGUCGGGGAGCAAAGCUCUUCGGUGCCGCAGCAAACGCAAUAAGUAGUCCACCUGGGGAGUACGUUCGCAAGAAUGAAACUCAAAGGAAUUGACGGGGACCCGCACAAGCGGUGGA